CACGGCAGCGAAAUGGGCAAUCCGCAGCGAAGCCCCUACGGCCUCCUGCCUGCGCGGCGGGAAGGCUACGGGGAACGUUCACAGACUAAGUGGAAGUGGGUGGGAUGCCGAAUCCUGCUUAAGAUAUAGUCGGGCCCCCUGGGAGACCAGGGGGGCAAGUACACUGCUCGUGCGUGUGUAAGCUGUUCCGUAGGUGAACCUGCGGAAGGAUCAUUACCGAGUGCGGGCCCGCUCCGGGCCCAACCUCCCACCCGUGUCUCUUGCGUACUUUGUUGCUUUGGCGGGCCCACUGGGUCACUCCGGUCGCCGGGGAGCGCUAUGCUCCCGGGCCCGUGCCCGCCAGAGCACCCCUGUGAACCCUGAUGAAGAGAGGCUGUCUGAGUCCCACGAUAAUCGUUAAAACUUUCAACAAUGGAUCUCUUGGUUCCGGCAUCGAUGAAGAACGCAGCGAAAUGCGAUAAGUAAUGUGAAUUGCAGAAUUCCGUGAAUCAUCGAAUCUUUGAACGCACAUUGCGCCCCCUGGCAUUCCGGGGGGCAUGCCUGUCCGAGCGUCAUUUCUGCCCUCAAGCGCGGCUUGUGUGUUGGGCGUGGUCCCCCUGGCUUUGGCGGGGACCUGCCCGAAAGGCAGCGGCGACGUCCCGCCUAGUCCUCGAGCGUAUGGGGCUCUGUCACGCGCUCGGGAGGGACUGGUGGGCGUUGGUCACCCCUUAUUCUUUCUACGGUGAC
rnacentral:rRNA from 1 species